GAAACUUUGAAAGCAGUUAAGAAUUUCCCACUUCUCAAGCAAGGCACAGCCAAGAGGAUGUGCACUGAAUCUAGAAGGAAAAUCUGUGGCAUUUACGUGCCAUGCCUCUUCCUCUGACACCCUGAUACACAAUCAGGAGAAAACCUCCAAUUUCUGACAUCUUUCUAGAAGCCCAAGGAAAUCGCAGAAGUCAGUGGUGUUGCUGAACAACUGAGGCAUAACUCCUUGCAUGAUACUUCACCUACUUUCAUCAAUACAGGGUUUAUUUUUAAUUUGUAUUAUAUACAUAGCUUUCAGUUAGAAGAAUCCUACUGUUAAAAAAUAAAUUACUCCUUUAAAACUU